rnacentral:rRNA from 1 species
UACGUAGGCAGCAAGCGUUGUUCGGAGUUACUGGGCGUAAAGGGUGUGUAGGCGGCCUGUUAAGUUCCGUGUGAAAUCUCCCGGCUCAACCGGGAGGGUGCGUGGAAAACUGGCGGGCUAGAGUGCGGGAUGGGAGAGUAGAAUUCCUGGUGUAGCGGUGAAAUGCGUAGAUAUCAGGAGGAAUACCGGUGGUGUAGACGGCUCUCUGGACCGCAACUGACGCUGAAACACGAAAGCGUGGGUAGCAAACAGG